GAUAAACGCUAGCGACAGGCCUAACACAUGCAAGUCGAGGGGCAUCACGUCUUCGGAUGGUGGCGACCGGCGCACGGGUGAGUAACACGUAUGCAACCUACCUGUAAGAGGGGAAUAACCCGGAGAAAUUCGGACUAACACCGCAUAAUACAUAAUUACCGCAUGGUAUUUAUGUUAAAUAUUUAUAGCUUACAGAUGGGCAUGCGUAUGAUUAGCUAGUUGGUGAGGUAACGGCUCACCAAGGCAACGAUCAUUAGGGGUUCUGAGAGGAAGGUCCCCCACACUGGUACUGAGACACGGACCAGACUCCUACGGGAGGCAGCAGUGAGGAAUAUUGGUCAAUGGGCGAGAGCCUGAACCAGCCAUGUCGCGUGAAGGAAGAAUGUCCUAUGGAUUGUAAACUUCUUUUAUACAGGAAUAAAGUGUACUACGUGUAGUAUUUUGUAUGUACUGUAUGAAUAAGGAUCGGCUAACUCGUGCCAGCAGCCGAC
rnacentral:rRNA from 1 species